CAAUAGCGUAUAUUUAAGUUGCUGCAGUUAAAAAGCUCGUAGUUGGAUUUCGGGUGGGAAUGGCCGGUCCGCCGUUUCGGUGUGCACUUGCUACGCCCACCUUGCUGCCGGGGACGUGCUCUUGAGUUCACGCUCGGGACACGGAGUCGGCGAGGUUACUUUGAGUAGAUUAGAGUGUUCAAAGCAGGCCUACGCUCUGAAUACAUUAGCAUGGAAUAACACGAUAGGACUCUGGCCUAUCUUGUUGGUCUGUAGGACCGGAGUAAUGAUUAAGAGGGACAGUCGGGGGCAUUCGUAUUUCAUUGUCAGAGGUGAAAUUCUUGGAUUUAUGAAAGACGAACUACUGCGAAAGCAUUUGCCAAGGAUGUUUUCAUUGA
rnacentral:rRNA from 1 species